rnacentral:rRNA from 1 species
CAGCCGCCGCGGUAAUACGGAGGGGGCUAGCGUUGUUCGGAAUUACUGGGCGUAAAGCGCACGUAGGCGGCUUGGUAAGUUAGAGGUGAAAGCCCAGGGCUCAACCCUGGAAUUGCCUUUAAGACUGCCGAGCUAGUAGGUGAGAGAGGUAAGUGGAAUUCCGAGUGUAGAGGUGAAAUUCGUAGAUAUUCGGAAGAAUACCAGUGGCGAAGGCGGCUUACUGGCUCAUUCUAGACGCUGAGGUGCGAAAGCGUGGGGAGCAAACAGGAUUAGAUACCCCAGUAGUCCCUGUCUCUUAUAA